GAUGAAGAACGCAGCGAAAUGCGAUAAGUAAUGUGAAUUGCAGAAUUCAGUGAAUCAUCGAAUCUUUGAACGCACAUUGCGCCCGCCAGUAUUCUGGCGGGCAUGCCUGUUCGAGCGUCAUUUCAACCAUCAAGCCCCCGGCUUGUGUUGGGGACCUGCGGCUGCCCGCAGGCCCUGAAAACCAGUGGUGGUCUCGCUGUCACACCGAGCGUAGUAAGCAUUAUCUCGCUCAGGGCGUGCUGCGGGUUCCGGCCGUUAAAUGAAAAGCCUUCGUAGCCCAAGGUUGACCUCGGAUCAGGUAGGAAGACCCGCUGAACUUAAGCAUAUCAAUAAGCGGAGGA
rnacentral:misc_RNA from 1 species